rnacentral:rRNA from 1 species
CCUACGGGAGGCUGCAGUGGGGAAUAUUGCGCAAUGGGCGAAAGCCUGACGCAGCGACGCCGGGUGAGGGAUGAAGGUCUUCGGAUCGUAAACCUCUGUCAGCAGGGAAGAACGGUCACUGUGCUAAUCAGCAGUGAAUUGACGGUACCUGCAAAGGAAGCACCGGCUAACUCCGUGCCAGCAGCCGCGGUAAUACGGAGGGUGCGAGCGGUAAUCGGAAUUAGUGGGCGUAAAGCGCUCGUAGGCGGUAUGUCAAGUCAAGGGUGAAAUCCCCGCGCUCAACGUGGGAACUGCCUUUGAAACUGGCAAACUGGAGUGUGUGAGAGGAUAGUGGAAUUCCAGGUGUAGGAGUGAAAUCCGUAGAUAUCUGGAGGAACAUCAGUGGCGAAGGCGACUAUCUGGCCCAUAACUGACGCUGAGGAGCGAAAGCGUGGGUAGCAAACAGGAUUAGAUACCCGGGUAGUC